rnacentral:tRNA from 2 species
GCCGCCUUAGCUCAGCUGGUUAGAGCAUCUGUCUUGUAAACAGAAGGUCGUCGGUUCGAAUCCGACAGGCGGCUCC